GUUAGGAAUAUUGGGCAAUGGAGGAAACUCUGACCCAGCAACGCCGCGUGAGUGAUGAAGGUUUUCGGACUGUAAAGCUCUGUUGUUUAGGACGAAAGUGCCUGUUGCAAAUAGUUACAGGUAUUGACGGUACUGAACGAGGAAGCCACGGCUAACUACGUGCCAGCAGCCGCGGUAAUACGUAGGUGGCAAGCGUUGUCCGGAAUUAUUGGGCGUAAAGAGCAUGUAGGCGGGAAUCUAAGUCUGUUGUGAAAAUGCGGGGCUCAACCCCGUAUUGCGAUGGAAACUGGGUUUCUUGAGUGCAGGAGAGGAAAGGGGAAUUCCCAGUGUAGCGGUGAAAUGCGUAGAUAUUGGGAGGAACACCAGUGGCGAAGGCGCCUUUCUGGACUGUGUCUGACGCUGAGAUGCGAAAGCCAGGGUAGCGAACGGGAUUAGAAACCCGAGUAGUCC
rnacentral:rRNA from 1 species